rnacentral:misc_RNA from 1 species
GAACGCAAAUUGCACUCCCUGGUAUUCCGGGGAGUAUGCCUGUUUGAGGGUCAGUUUAAAUAAAAAUCGGUGUGUUGCUUUUUUGUAUCACCUCGGAAUUGGGUUUUCUUAGCCUUCGGGUUAAGAGACUUAAAAUUGAUUUUUUUUGUGCAUUUUUAUAGACGUACAUAAGAUAUUUUUUUAUUCGCCUUGGAAUGCCAAAUUUAUUAGGUAUGAUCAUGUUGUGUGGUUUCGUACCUAUAAGUUUCAUCAUCUGACCUCAAAUCAGGUAGGGACACCCGCUGAACUUAAG